GGGAGAGCGUGGCAGGCUGGUGCCGCCCCGGGACUUCAAAUCCCGUGAGGGGUUGCUCUGGCAAUCCCUGGAGGGUUCGAUUCCCUUGCUCUCCCG
rnacentral:tRNA from 1 species